rnacentral:rRNA from 1 species
AACGCGAAGAACCUUACCUAGCCUUGACAUGCAUUGGACCGACUCUGAAAGGAGUCUUUCCCGCAAGGGACCUGUGUAGAGGUGCUGCAUGGCUGUCGUCAGCUCGUGCCGUGAGGUGUUGGGUUAAGUCCCGCAACGAGCGCAACCCUUACUCAUAGUUGCUACCCGCAAGGGAGAACUCUAUGAGGACUGCUCCGGAUAACGGAGAGGAAGGUGGGGAUGAGGUCAAGUCAGCAUGGCCUUUAUGUCCAGGGCUACACACGUGUUACAAUGCGCGCUACAGAGCGUUGCAAACCCGCGAGGGGGAGCUAAUCGCAAAAAAGCGCGCUCAGUUCGGAUUGCAGUCUGCAACUCGACUGCAUGAAGCCGGAAUCGCUAGUAAUGGCGCAUCAGAACGGCGCCGUGAAUACGUUCCCGGGCCUUGUACACACCGCAUAC